UAGGGAAUCUUCCGCAAUGGGCGAAAGCUUGACGGAGCAACGCCGCGUGAGUGAUGAAGGUCUUCGGAUCGUAAAACUCUGUUAUUAGGGAAGAACAAAUGUGUAAGUAACUAUGCACGUCUUGACGGUACCUAAUCAGAAAGCCACGGCUAACUACGUGUCAGCAGCCGCGGUAAUACGUAGGUGGCAAGCGUUAUCCGGAAUUAUUGGGCGUAAAGCGCGCGUAGGCGGUUUUUUAAGUCUGAUGUGAAAGCCCACGGCUCAACCGUGGAGGGUCAUUGGAAACUGGAAAACUUGAGUGCAGAAGAGGAAAGUGGAAUUCCAUGUGUAGCGGUGAAAUGCGCAGAGAUAUGGAGGAACACCAGUGGCGAAGGCGACUUUCUGGUCUGUAACUGACGCUGAUGUGCGAAAGCGUGGGGAUCAAACAGG
rnacentral:rRNA from 1 species